UCUAGCCGUAGGGGCAUUAAAAAACGCAGCUUAAAUCCCCCGCUGUGACGUCACAAUCAGUCGACUACAUCAUGGAGGCAAGGGGAGGCAGGAGCUCGGCAGUCAGAGCACAUUUUCGUCCCUUUCCUCACCUCCAGUCACGGAAUAUGAUAACACUACAACUUUGAAUCUACAGCCAGACAUACCCCAGCUGAUCUCAAGUUCCCCAGAAGCACUCAGACGCUUACCCACUCCACACACCAGUGACCAGCAGGCAACUAGGUUUGGCGAGGAUUCAAACACGAGCCGCCUUAGCCAACUACGACACCCAGCCAGUCAAGGAGGUGGGAGAGACUUGCUGGAUGAGGCGUUGGACCAGUUCACUGUGAAAGAAAUCAGUCACCAAUGGGAAUUAUAGUGAGUAACAUUGCAGGUUUACUUCACAUAUAUUGAUAAAGGCGCUAACAUCACUUGACUGUGUUUGUUGUUGUGGGCGACACGGAGUAUUACUAAGAACAGCACGGAUUAUGGCAAGAU